UACGUAGGCAGCAAGCGUUGUUCGGAGUUACUGGGCGUAAAGGGCGUGCAGGCGGUCUGUUAAGUCUAGGGUGAAAGCUCCCGGCUCAACUGGGAGAGGUCCUUGGAUACUGGCGGACUUGAGGGAGGCAGAGGAAAGUGGAAUUCCCGGUGUAGUGGUGAUAUGCGUAGAUAUCGGGAGGAACACCAGUGGCGAAGGCGGCUUUCUGGGCCUUACCUGACGCUGAGACGCGAAAGCGUGGGGAGCGAACCGG
rnacentral:rRNA from 1 species